UUUUUUGUUUUAGUAUAAAAAAAAAUUAAAACAUAUAGAACGCCAUGAGUCUUUUAAUAUCUCUGCUUAUCUCUCUUUUAGAUGCCUCAUCACAUACCUCUUAUUGAUACAAAUCUCGAAUACAAGGAAGCAGAAAUACUUACUGUAGUGUCAAAUAUAGAUGACAAACCUUCUGCAGUUGUCAACAGAAAUAAUGGAAUAAAGCUUUCUACUGUAAAAGAAGACCAAACUGAAAAGGAUCUAAUGUCUACACUUUGGGGGAAAUCUUCGAUUUAAGUAUAGGAGGCAAAUUAACUUCCCUGGGAGUGAAAGCAAAGUGAAAACUCGAG